rnacentral:rRNA from 1 species
CCUACGGGGGGCAGCAGUCGAGAAUCAUUCACAAUGGGGGAAACCCUGAUGGGGCGACGCCGCGUGGGGGAAUGAAGGUCUUCGGAUUGUAAACCCCUGUCAUGUGGGAGCAAAUUAAAAAGAUAGUACCACAAGAGGAAGAGAUGGCUAACUCUGGGCCAGCAGCCGCGGUAAUACAGCGGUCUCAAGCGUUGUUCGGAAUACCUGGGCGUAAAGCGUGCGUGGGCUGUUUCGUAAGUCGUGUGUGAAAGGCGCGGGCUCAACCCGCGGACGGCACUUGAUACUGCGAGACUGAAGUUAUGGAGAGGGAACCGGAAUUCGCGGUGUAGCAGUGAAAUCCGUAGAUAUCUGGAGGAACAUCAGUGGCGAAGGCGACUAUCUGGCACAUAACUGACGCUGAGGAGCGAAAGCGUGGGUAGCAAACAGGAUUAGAUACCCUUGUAGUC